AUGAACGCUGGCGGCGUGCCUAAUCCAUGCACGUCGAGCGAACAGACGAGGAGCUUGCUCCUCUGACGUUAGCGGCGGACGGGUGAGUAACACGUGGAUAACCUACCUAUAAGACUGGGAUAACUUCGGGAAACCGGAGCUAAUACCGGAUAAUAUAUUGAACCGCAUGGUUCAAUAGUGAAAGACGGUUUUGCUGUCACUUAUAGAUGGAUCCGCGCCGCAUUAGCUAGUUGGUAAGGUAACGGCUUACCAAGGCGACGAUGCGUAGCCGACCUGAGAGGGUGAUCGGCCACACUGGAACUGAGACACGGUCCAGACUCCUACGGGAGGCAGCAGUAGGGAAUCUUCCGCAAUGGGCGAAAGCCUGACGGAGCAACGCCGCGUGAGUGAUGAAGGUCUUCGGAUCGUAAAACUCUGUUAUUAGGGAAGAACAAAUGUGUAAGUAACUAUGCACGUCUUGACGGUACCUAAUCAGAAAGCCACGGCUAACUACGUG
rnacentral:rRNA from 1 species